AUUGAACGCUGGCGGCAUGCCUUACACAUGCAAGUCGAACGGCAGCGCGGGCUUUGGCCUGGCGGCGAGGGGCGAACGGGUGAGUAAUACAUCGGAACGCGCCCAGUAGUGGGGGAUAGCUCGGCGAAAGCCGGAUUAAUACCGCAUACGAUCCGAGGGGGAAAGGGGGGGAGCUUCGGACCUCGCGCUCUUGGAGCGCCCGAUGGCAGAUUAGCUAGUUGGUGGGGUAAAGGCCUACCAAGGCGACGAUCUGUAGCUGGUCUGAGAGGACGACCAGCCACACUGGGACUGAGACACGGCCCAGACUCCUACGGGAGGCAGCAGUGGGGAAUUUUGGACAAUGGGCGAAAGCCUGAUCCAGCAAUGCCGCGUGUGUGAUGAAGGCCUUCGGGUUGUAAAGCACUUUUGGCGGGAACGAAAAGGACUGUGCCAAUACCACGGUUCGAUGACGGUACCCGCAGAAUAAGCACCGGCUAACUACGUG
rnacentral:rRNA from 1 species